CCGCCCGCUCCCCCCGCCCGGUGCGCGCCCGCGCCGCCGCUCGCCCGGGCCGGAGCGCCCAUGGCUGUCCUCGCUCCCGGAAGGUUCCAAGGUUCCAGUCGCAGGCACAGCCCAGCCGUAUCUGGUCCCUUGCAUGGAGCUUUGCUGACCUGAAAAUCUGCUCCAGAACUUUUGGAGAAAACACUAAAGCAGCACAAGGCCAUUUAACCUUACAACUUGAGCCCUGCAGAUAAGGUGCAAGGAAGAAACAUAGAAACAUGCCCCGGAGUCAAGGUUUGUGUGACAGGGAGAGAAUUGCUUUUUGGAUCUAGGCUGGAUUCCUGGGCAGUUGUCAUGUGGCUGAAAGUAUGCCCCAGAUGGAGUUUCCUCCAUUUGGCUGCAAAACAGCAAUGGUAAUGUAAGUAUACGAGGCUUAACUGUACAACAGCAGCAAGACAUUCUCUGAAGGACAGACAUCCUUGGGCCCAUGCUCAGUCCUAUUUCUUAUGCCUGCCUCAGGAGCUUAGUGCCCCAUACUUCAUCUCUAGGCAUUCUUCACUAAAAACAGUGCAAACAGGAGCAAACUGUAAAACAGGCCAUAGCUACAUCAUGUAGAAGGGAACAUCUUCCCAAUUCUAUUCCUAGAAAUCUUCUGUUCAGUAUUUGUGGCACAUGUAGCUCCUGGUUGCAUAGGACAUGACAGAUCACCCUUAUUCAGGUUUUUGAUUCUGAAGUAUCACACUUUGAAGCAAACAUCUCUAGCAUGGUAUUUUGCACUAAGAGCAGAAUUAAACAUAGUACAGAUACAUAUUUGUAUUUCCAUAGAGUAUUCAGAAUUUAACUUCCUAGAAAACUGUGUAUGAAUGGGUAAAUGCCUCAAUAGCAAAGAUAACAGGCAUACACUAUGAAAUACCUAAUCCAAUUUCAUAUUCAUUAUGGCAGCUCUUUUUAACCGAAGGGAAAAGUCUGCAAAAUGUACUCUGUUACUAGGAGAGGAGUGGUUAAGGAACAUACAGCACAGAAUACUCGCACAGGCACACCCUAUAUCUGUGGCAAAAAAUUACUUAUGCUCCUGAGAGAAACAAAUUGUUCAGAAAAAGACAAUAAAACUGGUUCAAAAUGCAA